UACGUAGGGGGCAAGCGUUGUCCGGAUUUAUUGGGCGUAAAGAGCGUGUAGGCGGCUAGGUAGGUCCGUUGUGAAAACUCGAGGCUCAACCUCGAGACGUCGAUGGAAACCAUCUAGCUAGAGUCCGGAAGAGGAGAGUGGAAUUCCUGGUGUAGCGGUGAAAUGCGCAGAUAUCAGGAGGAACACCGGUGGCGAAGGCGGGUCUCUGGGCCGUAACCGACGCUGAGGAGCGAAAGCAUGGGGAGCGAACAGG
rnacentral:rRNA from 1 species